CAAGGCUUGACAUGAACCGGAAACACCUGGAAACAGGUGCCCCGCUUGCGGUCGGUUUACAGGUGGUGCAUGGUUGUCGUCAGCUCGUGUCGUGAGAUGUUGGGUUAAGUCCCGUAACGAGCGCAACCCUUGUCCUUAGUUACCAGCACGUUAAGGUGGGCACUCUAAGGAGACUGCCGGUGACAAACCGGAGGAAGGUGGGGAUGACGUCAAGUCAUCAUGGCCCUUACGGCCUGGGCUACACACGUGCUACAAUGGUCGGUACAAAGGGUUGCCAAGCCGCGAGGUGGAGCUAAUCCCAUAAAACCGAUCGUAGUCCGGAUCGCAGUCUGCAACUCGACUGCGUGAAGUCGGAAUCGCUAGUAAUCGUGAAUCAGAAUGUCACGGUGAAUACGUUCC
rnacentral:rRNA from 1 species